rnacentral:rRNA from 1 species
UGGGAACCUUCCCUAUGGUUCGGAAUAGCCCAGGGAAACUUGGGGUAAUACCGAAUAAGCCCUUCGGGAGAAAGAUUUAUCGCCAUUGGAUGGGCCCGCGUCGGAUUAGCUAGUUGGUGGGUAACGGCCACCAAGGCGACGAUCCGUAGCUGGUCUGAGAGGAUGAUCAGCCACACUGGGACUGAGACACGGCCCAGACUCUUACGGGAGGCAG